rnacentral:rRNA from 1 species
AUUGAACGCUGGCGGCAUGCUUUACACAUGCAAGUCGAACGGUAACAGGCCUUCGGGCGCUGACGAGUGGCGAACGGGUGAGUAAUGCAUCGGAACGUGCCCAGUCGUGGGGGAUAACGCAGCGAAAGCUGUGCUAAUACCGCAUACGAUCUGCGGAUGAAAGCGGGGGACCUUCGGGCCUCGCGCGAUUGGAGCGGCCGAUGUCAGAUUAGGUAGUUGGUGGGGUAAAGGCCCACCAAGCCGACGAUCUGUAGCUGGUCUGAGAGGACGACCAGCCAAACUGGGACUGAGAAACGGCCGAGACUCCUACGGGAGGCAGCAGUGGGGAAUUUUGGACAAUGGGCGCAAGCCUGAUCCAGCAAUGCCGCGUGCAGGAAGAAGGCCUUCGGGUUGUAAACUGCUUUUGUACGGAGCGAAAAGGCUCCCUCUAAUACAGGGGGCUCAUGACGGUACCGUAAGAAUAAGCACCGGCUAACUACGUGCCAGCAGCCGCCGUAA